rnacentral:rRNA from 1 species
CCUACGGGUGGCAGCAGUGGGGAAUAUUGGGCAAUGGGCGCAAGCCUGACCCAGCAACGCCGCGUGAAGGAAGAAGGCUUUCGGGUUGGAAACUUCUUUUGGCAGGGAAGAGAAGAAGACGGUACCUGACGAAUAAGCCAGGGCUAACUCCGGGCCAGCAGCCGCGGUAAUACGGCGGGGGCAAGCGUUGUCCGGAUUUACUGGGUGUAAAGGGCGUGUAGCCGGGUUGACCAGUCAGAUGUGUACUCCUGCGGCGUAACCCCAGAACUGCCUUUGAAACUGUUGAUCUUGAGUACUGGAGAGGCAGCCGGCAUUCCUGGUGUAGCGGUCAAAUGCGUAGAUAUUAGGCGGAACCCCAGUGGCGCCGGCGGUCUGCUGGACAGCACCUGACGGUGAUGCGCGACAGCGUGGGGAGCAAACCGGAUUAGAUACCCGUGUAGUC